AUUGAACGCUGGCGGCAGGCUUAACACAUGCAAGUCGAGCGGAGCGAGGGUGCUUGCACCUUAGCUUAGCGGCGGACGGGUGAGUAAUGCUUAGGAAUCUGCCUAUUAGUGGGGGACAACAUUCCGAAAGGAAUGCUAAUACCGCAUACGCCCUACGGGGGAAAGCAGGGGAUCUUCGGACCUUGCGCUAAUAGAUGAGCCUAAGUCGGAUUAGCUAGUUGGUGGGGUAAAGGCCUACCAAGGCGACGAUCUGUAGCGGGUCUGAGAGGAUGAUCCGCCACACUGGGACUGAGACACGGCCCAGACUCCUACGGGAGGCAGCAGUGGGGAAUAUUGGACAAUGGGCGGAGGCCUGAUCCAGCCAUGCCGCGUGUGUGAAGAAGGCCUUUUGGUUGUAAAGCACUUUAAGCGAGGAGGAGGCUACUUAGAUUAAUACUCUGGGAUAGUGGACGUUACUCGCAGAAUAAGCACCGGCUAACUCUGUGCCAGCCGCCGCGGUAAAAC
rnacentral:rRNA from 1 species